GGGGAGGAUUACUGCUAGGCUCUGGCCUUGCUAUCCCUUUUAUUGAGGCUAUGGGAUACACCCAUUACCCUUAAGCAAGUUUGGGAGACACCCAUCACCCUUAGGCAGGUAAUAAGUGGAUUAUCAUAUCAGUAAGGGUUUACAUGAUUACAAGAUGGGGAAGUUGCCUCAGUUACCAUUGACUCAAUUAGAUAGGGAGUGGUUGGCUCUGCCCU